rnacentral:tRNA from 1 species
GCGGGAUUAGCUCAGUUGGUACGAGCAACGCUUUUACACAGCGAAGGUCGCAGGUUCGAGCCCUGCAUCCCGCA